rnacentral:lncRNA from 1 species
GAGCUUAUUGAUGAUUGUAAUAGGCCUAUUUGCCCGGCCCAUUUUAUUAAAAAAACCAAAUAAAAAUAAAUAAAGUCCAUUUACAAACUGCUAAUCUAUUUACAACCCAAUUAAACCCGUGGCCCAAUAACCAAUUACAAACCCAACUCUACCCUAACCCAAAAUACAAUCCUAAAUCCAAUUACAAUUAAGCCCAAAAGUAGCCCAAAUUCCAGAAACCCUAGGGGUUCCCAGAACAAUCUGGCGUUCCAGGUUCCCGAGCGCUGCGCCUCAAGCCUCAGCCGCUGCAGCCGAGCCAGGCCUCCUCCCCGCGCGUGCAGAACCUCCGCGCCAAAUCCACACGCACCCUCAGCGCCAGGCUGGUUCAUCACCUGCAACAAACUCACAAACAAACAAAAGAAAAACGAAAUAACAAGAAAAAAGGACAACAGAUUGUAUUUCAGAUUUUUCAUUUUAUCUUAUUUUUAUUAUUAUUUUGGCUAUAAAGAGCCAAUACAAACAUUGUAAACGGAUCUUUUUGACGGAUAUUGAAUAGAAAAACAGAAAAAUUUCAGAGAAAAAAAGAUCAAAAAUUGGAAAGGUGAUUUCAGACUCUUUUUCCUGGAUUUUCUUUUCUCUUUUUCAGAUAAAAUCAAAGCAAGAAAAUCGAGGGCUAAAAGUUUACCUGUUACUCGAACAUCGUUUACUCCGCCGUAAUCGGAGCCAGACGAUCGUUCGUAGAGCUUCCGAUUAGCCCGAUUACAGGAGCGGCGCAUGGGGAUUUUCUUUUGCCUUAGGUUUUUAGAAUGGAAACGGCUGUUAAAUGUUAGAGUUUAGUUAGGCUUAUUUAUAAUGGAGGAAACGACGCCGUUUAGAGCCUGCACCAGUGGCCUUAAAACGGCGCCGUAUUGGCCCUACAACCCGCGCGUGUGACCCGACCCAGGGAGGAUCCGCGCAUUCUGACUCAUUGGUUUAUUUGCGCUGAGAUUCCUCUUUGUUUUGCGUUGUUUCAAUUCGAUUUCUU